rnacentral:rRNA from 1 species
CCAGAGAUGGAUUGGUGCCUUCGGGAACGUCUGACACAGGUGCUGCAUGGCUGUCGUCAGCUCGUGUCGUGAGAUGUUGGGUUAAGUCCCGUAACGAGCGCAACCCUUGUCCUUAGUUACCAGCACGUUAUGGUGGGCACUCUAAGGAGGACUGCCGGUGACAAACCGGAGGAAGGUGGGGGAUGACGUCAAGUCAUCAUGGCCCUUACGGCCUGGGCUACACACGUGCUACAAUGGUCGGUACAAAGGGUUGCCAAGCCGCGAGGUGGAGCUAAUCCCAUAAAACCGAUCGUAGUCCGGAUCGCAGUCUGCAACUCGACUGCGUGAAGUCGGAAUCGCUAGUAAUCGUGAAUCAGAAUGUCACGGUGAAUACGUUCCCGGGCCUU